rnacentral:tRNA from 1 species
GGGCACAUGGUGUAGUUGGUUUAUCACGCCCGCUUUGCAUUGUUCUGUGCGUGCGGGAGGUGUUGGGUUCAAUUCCCAAUGUGUCCA